GAGGAGAGAGAGAGAGAGGGAGAGCAUAUGACAAGACAGAAACUGUGCUUCUCUUAGCCCAUAAAGCACUUGGAAGACUUCUUUGCUUUCUCAUCAGGCAACUUGGAUUAUAUUAACCUGAGAAUCAUUGGUUAAAAUAUCAAGAACCGGCAAGAGCUGUGUGACUACUGAAGGAUGUCUACAAUCUUAAAAGUAUUUGGGAGAGAAGACAAAGAGAAAGAGAAGGAGA